rnacentral:rRNA from 1 species
GAUGAACGCUGGCGGCGUGCCUAAUACAUGCAAGUCGAGCGAACGGGCGAGAAGCUUGCUUUUCUGAUGUUAGCGGCGGACGGGUGAGUAACACGUGGAUAACCUACCUAUAAGACUGGGAUAACUUCGGGAAACCGGAGCUAAUACCGGAUAAUAUUUUGAACCGCAUGGUUCAAAAGUGAAAGACGGUCUUGCUGUCACUUAUAGAUGGAUCCGCGCUGCAUUAGCUAGUUGGUAAGGUAACGGCUUACCAAGGCAACGAUGCAUAGCCGACCUGAGAGGGUGAUCGGCCACACUGGAACUGAGACACGGUCCAGACUCUACGGGAGGCAGCAGUAGGGAAUCUUCCGCAAUGGGCGAAAGCCUGACGGAGCAACGCCGCGUGAGUGAUGAAGGUCUUCGGAUCGUAAAACUCUGUUAUUAGGGAAGAACAUAUGUGUAAGUAACUGUGCACAUCUUGACGGUACCUAAUCAGAAAGCCACGGCUAACUACGUG